rnacentral:rRNA from 1 species
GACGAACGCUGGCGGCGUGCUUAACACAUGCAAGUCGAACGGUGAAAGCGGAGCUUGCUCCGCUGGAUCAGUGGCAAACGGGUGAGUAACACGUGGGCAACCUGCCCUUCACUUCGGGAUAACUCCGGGAAACCGGGGCUAAUACCGGAUAUGACCUCUGCGGGCGUCCGCGGAGGUGGAAAGUUUUUCGGUGAAGGAUGGGCCCGCGGCCUAUCAGCUUGUUGGUGAGGUAGUGGCUCACCAAGGCGACGACGGGUAGCCGGCCUGAGAGGGCGACCGGCCACACUGGGACUGAGACACGGCCCAGACUCCUACGGGAGGCAGCAGUGGGGAAUAUUGCGCAAUGGGCGAAAGCCUGACGCAGCAACGCCGCGUGCGGGAUGACGGCCUUCGGGUUGUAAACCGCUUUCAGCAGGGAAGAAGCCGCAAGGUGACGGUACCUGCAGAAGAAGCACCGGCUAACUACGUGCCAGCCGCCGCCGUAA